rnacentral:misc_RNA from 1 species
GGAAGGAUCAUUACCGAGUAUGCCCUUCGGGGCGGAUCUCCAACCCUCUGUAUACUACAAUUUGUUGCUUUGGCGGGCCUGCGCAAGCUGCUGGCUUCGGCUGGUUUGUGCCCGCCAGAGGAAAAUUAAACCCUAACAAUUUUGUUCUUGUCUGAAAACACUAAAUAUUUAAAACUUUCAACAACGGAUCUCUUGGCUCUGGCAUCGAUGAAGAACGCAGCGAAAUGCGAUAAGUAAUGUGAAUUGCAGAAUUCAGUGAAUCAUCGAAUCUUUGAACGCACAUUGCGCCCCUUGGUAUUCCGAGGGGCAUGCCUGUUCGAGCGUCAUUAUCACCCUUCAAGCUUUGCUUGGUGUUGGGGCAUGCUGUUACCGGCAGCCCUUAAAAUCAGUGGCAGUAACCAUUAGGCUCUGAGCGUAGUAAUUCUUCUCGCUAUAGCGUCUGGUGGUCGCGCGCCAAAACCCCCAUUUUUUAUGAUUGACCUCGGAUCAGGUAGGGAUACCCGCUGAACUUAAGCAUAUCAAUAAGCGGAGGAAAAGAAACCAACAGGGAUUGCCUCAGUAACGGCGAGUGAAGCGGCAAAAGCUCAAAUUUGAAAUCUGGCUCUUUCAGGGUCCGAGUUGUAAUUUGUAGAAGAUGCUUUGGGUGUGGCUCCAGUUUAAGUUCUUUGGAAUAUUACAUCAUAGAGGGUGAGAAUCCCGUAUGUGACUGGCUGCCUUCGCCCGUGUAAAGCUCUUUCGACGAGUCGAGUUGUUUGGGAAUGCAGCUCAAAAUGGGUGGUAUAUUUCAUCUAAAGCUAAAUAUUGGCCAGAGACCGAUAGCGCACAAGUAGAGUGAUCGAAAGAUGAAAAGCACUUUGGAAAGAGAGUUAAACAGUACGUGAAAUUGUUGAAAGGGAAGCGCUUGCAACCAGACUUGCACGCAGUUGAUCAACCGGUGUUCUCACCGGGGCACUCUGCUGUGUUCAGGCCAGCAUCGGUUUCGGUGGUUGGAUAAAGGCCUUGGGAAUGUAGCUUCUUUCGGGGAGUGUUAUAGCCCAAGGUGCAAUGCAGCCUACCGGGACCGAGGACCGCGCUUCGGCUAGGAUGCUGGCGUAAUGGUUGUAAGCGGCCCGUCUUGAAACACGGACCAAGGAGUCUAACAUCUAUGCGAGUGUUUGGGUGUCAAACCCAUACGCGUAAUGAAAGUGAACGGAGGUAAGAACCCUUCGGGGGGCAUUAUCGACCGGUCCUGAUGUCUUCGGAUGGAUCUGAGUAAGAGCAUAGCUGUUGGGACCCGAAAGAUGGUGAACUAUGCGUGAAUAGGGUGAAGCCAGAGGAAACUCUGGUGGAGGCUCGCAGCGGUUCUGACGUGCAAAUCGAUCGUCAAAUUUGCGCAUAGGGGCGAAAGACUUAUCGAACCAUCUAGUAGCUGGUUCCUGC